rnacentral:rRNA from 1 species
UCCUACGGGGCGCAGCAGUGAGGAAUAUUGGUCAAUGGGCUUACGCCUGAACCAGCCAAGUCGCGUGAGGGAAGACUGCCCUAUGGGUUGUAAACCUCUUUUGUCAGGGAGCAAUUGGCGCUACGUGUAGCGUUAUCGAGAGUACCUGAAGAAAAAGCAUCGGCUAACUCCGUGCCAGCAGCCGCGGUAAUACGGAGGAUGCGAGCGUUAUCCGGAUUUAUUGGGUUUAAAGGGUGCGCAGGCGGUCUGUUAAGUCAGCGGUCAAAGCCCGGGGCUCAACCCCGGCCCGCCGUUGAAACUGGCAG